ACUUUUGAAAGUCAGCCCUCGUUAAAGAGGGUAGACCUGUCGACGCCGAUGGUAUACGCCCUUCGAGACACGAAGAUGUACUGCUUCUUUACGUGACAUGGUGGACGUCCUGAGAGCUCACGUGAUUGUCAGCUUCCUGACCGAUCGGCAUCUUAGAAAGGGAUUCCAGGAAGAGGACGCCUCCUCAUUGCUCCCUUGGGUGCACCGUGAUUCAUACAGAAGAGAUUUGAUAUAAAGAAGGAGAAGAAGCAAUAUUAAAAAAAGAAGACAAGGAACAAGAAAAAGGUACUAAAAGAGUAAGAAUCCCAAGGGAGUUGCGUGCUCCUGAAUGACGCAGCAACUCGCCAACCUUAAGAAGCCUCUAAUACGCCUCUAAAAAUGACCAGAGGGAUUCUUUCGUUUCCAUUGAGCGACGCCUCGAGUCACUCCGCGGUUCAUUCAUUCGUUGUGAGCUUCUCGUGGAACAGGCCGAAGUCCGACUCGAGUGGAGUGAAGAGGAGUGUGAAGUGGACCGGAUGGAAUUUCGUUUCUGACAGGCCGUCUCUGCUUUUCGUGACUCGCGAUUGCGCAAAAUAGAGAAAGGGAUUCGAUGAUGUGGAUGGAACUAGGAAGACGAGUGGAUUAUUAGGCAGAAGAAGAGGCAACUUCUGCAACAGUGAUGACGGUGGUCCACCGUCGAGGAUACCCGAAGUAAUAUGAGCAGAGUCUCGCAAAACAUCGGCUGUCGCUCACAGCGUGAAACAUCCUGCGGCUAAAACCCAGAACCCACUCGAGUAAACCAGGAAUUCCUUCGAAGUUCCCAAAUGCUCGGUUAUAUCCACACUCCUCAUCAAUAUUUGGCCUCUUCGUGGAUUCGAGUGCCACGUCAUUUGAAGUUUUACCAUCGCCGCCACAGACAUGUCGAUCCGGUUAGAAAGAAGUGUCUACUGUACUCGAUGACUUUUCGAAUUCAAGCCUCGGGAAUCCUACCGAAGGGUCAGACAGCUUGGCACCUUCCAAGACAUCGUAAGAUCGGACAAGUGUGCUUUUACGAGUUAAAGUUAGACGAGUAGAAGAGAGAGAGAGAGAGAGAGAUGAGCGACCGCCGAUUUGCUAGCUAUUUGUUUAUCUUGAUUUUAUAUAAACGCUAGAAUAAAGUAGAGAUAGCAUAAAUGAAUGGACUAUAGAUGUAAGAAUUGAAAGAGUUUGAUAACGAAAGAAAGAGAAGAAAAUAGUGAAAAUUGAAGAGAAAAAAAAAGUGUUCCUCCGGGACAAUUUAAACUCGUAACAAAAAGAAGAAGAAAAAUAUUUUAAAGUGGAAACUCAAUUUUGACUCCAAUCUUCUGCGCAUGUGCAUCCCGGAAUUCAUGGAAAUCGCAAUGACGACAUAGAGUUGCACGCUGCGAUGCUGUAGAAUGGAAGAAAAUAAAUGGAGGAAAAGGAAUAAGAGCUCGCAACAGACUCAUGUUGAUUUUGGCUCCUGGCCGCGUUUCGGUAGGACGGUUAGAAAUAUCGGGUGCUGAAAUAAUUUGACAAAACCGCGCAAUUCUUCGGCGUUGCAACCGAUCGGUCUUAUCUUUUAAAAGUCCUUCGACUUCUUUCCCCCUGCCGUAGUAUCCCAAUUGGCUGACUUUCUCCUCGAGCAGAGUGCCGUUCACGAUAGAGCCAGAAUAGUCUGGGGAAAAUCACCGAUUUGACUCCACGAACAAACCAAUAAAUCUCACAGGUCGAAAGAGCAAUAUAUCUACUCGUGAGAGAAGCAGAGUACGGGGGAGAGCGAGAUAGAUCCAGAAGAGGAUACAUAUACAGUUAGAUAUAAGACUAACGUAAGAGGUAGAAAGAGGGAAAGAGAAACUCUAGGUGGGUGAUAUAUUUUAAGCGCGAGCCGCGUGCGCCGUGUCGUCUCCUGCGGCACGCCCCAAAAUUCAAGAAACGCCAAAAAAUCUCACUUAAGCUCACCGUCUCUUUAACACGAGUCAUACCGUACUCUAAAAAUACACCGUUGUAUCAAGCUAUUUAGAAAUUGCAGUGUAUGGCAUUGCGAGGUGUCCAAUGUUUGUGAUUUUAUUUAAUGAACUUUGAUUGCUACCUGCCUAUUGAAAAUAAUGUGUGCGUAUAAGCUAAGAGAUAAGUAGUAAGGAUAAGGUGUGCAUGUACAUUGAUGGUGAUGGAGAAUGAAAGGAAAUAAAGAAAGAAAAAAACGCGGCUGGCAAGUAGCUCUCGUGGGACGUGGGAAAACGCGUAGGCGAGAGAGCGACUCGAUGCCCAGGACUAUUCACCUGUCAACU